UUUCAGUGCUGGGCAGUAGCGAAGCGACUAGUUUAAUUACAUUCCCUAGUAGCUUGGUCGUAGCGUCAUUACUCGACUAACGUCCCUGUAGUUAGGAAAGAAAUAGUUUGGAAAUCAAUGUGAAAUACCCUGGCAUUUGCAACAGUAGGCAACCUGUCCUUAAAAAGUAUGGGUCCUCAAAACACCACUUGUUGCACAAAUAAGUGUUGCAAUAGAGCACGCCACCCCGAAAUCAAUGUGAAAUACCCUGGCAUUUGCAACAGUAGGCAGGCAGCAUGUCCUUAAAACGUAUGGGUCCUCAAAACAGCACUUGUUGCACAAAUAAGUGUAGCUGGCCUCUUCAAGAAAUUGAAAUUAUGCAUGGUCACUUUUUCUUAUUGUUUCACGUGGAGGUCUACUGACAUUGUCUAAAUAAUGUAGGCUAGUUUAUGUCCAUGUAUUAUAUUAGGACCCAAGGUUAAUGGGUUAUUCUGUUUACCAUGUUUUCACAGGCUGCUGUCUCAUAAUAUGGCGAAGACGAGUCACUUGAAGGCCUAACAGCUCUUAUGAGGAGCAGUCUUGCCAUAGAAGACUGAAAGAAUGUAAGAUUAACUUCUUUGUGACCAAUAUGACUUGCUCAUUGAUACAUUAGCUAUGUCAAUAUGAGAUGCAUGGCGAAGUAUUUAAUUUAUUUGUCUCUCUUCUAGGAGCUGUAGAAACAACAGGGUGCCUGCUGCAGUAUGACGAGGACGCCCUGAUCAUAGAAGGUCCAGUGUCUUGGCAGGGUGAAAUGGCACUGAUAUCGUGUCCUGCAGGAUGCUGUGUCCUGCAAUCCUGUGUGCUGUGCUACAGACGCGUGUGGAGGUCAACCCGAAAUGGGCACAGUAGAGUGAAAGAGGGUAAGCUUAACCUAUAGCCUACGUCAGGGUUGGGGAACCUUUCUCAUUCGAAUGGCCACUUCAAAUUCAUCCGAGGGGCCAUAAAAGUCCUCCAAGGGCCGUACUAUGAACACAAACCAGGAUUUUCCCUUUCACUUUAGGCCUAUAUUGAAGGCAGCCACAUUUAAACAAACGCCAACUUCAGGUUCCCUGAAUAUAACUUAAUUGUAUUGCUAAUGUAUUUUCUAAGAUUCCUUUACAAAAUAUGUCAUAUUUCAUGUGAAGAUGGAAUUGCAUUAAAAUUAUAUCGGGGGCCGGAUAAAACAGCCUCAAGGGUCGCAAACGGCCCUAGAGACAUAGGUUCCCCACCCCUGUCCUACAUUGUCAAUAUGACUUGUGCUACUUUAUAGAUAAGUUGUCAAUGCUGUGCAUUGCUAUGUUUUGAUUUAUUUUCUUACAUCCUACAGAUCCUGGCAGGGAGACGGUAGUGUCCUGCAGGAUGGUGAUGGGCAAUCUUACAAGAGACCACAGAAAACUGAUAUAGUCUCCCAGAAGUGAGACUGAGUGCCUGUUGCAGUAUGACGAGGAAGCAGUGACCAGAGACCUUCAGUAGACCCUGCUGGCAUGAUUGGCGGCUGAAGAACAUAAUCAACAGCAAUGUUUACUUUAUAAUAUUGUACAUACCUGUAUAGUCUGCACUAAAAUGCUGUACCUGUACUAUUUUUCCUCUUACUUUCAUAUUUACCACGUAUUUACUAUGAAUUGACAACUUUUACUCAAAUCCAUUUUUGUAUGUGCCCUGACUAAAACUAUCCUUAAACCUAACCUGUCAGAGGUGUAAUAACAACCUGCUCUUAGCAAUGUGGCAGCAGUCUACUUGGAUGCAGCGGGGAACAUAGAACCCUUUUUUUGAAAAAGCAUUGUAUGUUUCUGAGUUUUAUGAAUUGUGCCCUUCCCAAACCUAACCUGUCGUAGGGGCCUAUGAAAUCCGUUUUAUUUUUCCUCAUUCAGUUUUUUUCUGAUUUAUUUU